rnacentral:rRNA from 1 species
GGUAGCAUAAUCAUUAGUUUUUUAAUUUAAAGCUAGAAUGAAUGGUUGAACGAAAUAAAAUCUGUCUCAAAUUUAAUUUUUUAAAAUUUAAUUUUUAAGUUAAAAAGCUUAAAUUUAAUUAAAAGACGAGAAGACCCUAUAGAGCUUUAUAUAAAUUAUAUUAAAAAUAUAAUAUAGAAUUUUUAAAAUUAUAAUAUAAAAUAUAUUUUAUUGGGGUGAUAAAAAAAUUUAUAAAACUUUUUUUAUUUUAAAACAUUAAUUUAUGAAUUUAUGAUCCAUUAUUAUUGAUUAAAAGAUUAAGUUACCUUAGGGAUAACAGCGUAAUUUUUUUAAAGAGUUCUUAUCGAAAAAAAAGAUUGCGACCUCGAUGUUGGAUUAAAGAUUAUUUUUGGUGUAGAAGUUAAAAAUUUAGGUCUGUUCGACCUUUAAAUCUUUACAUGAUCUGAGUUCAGACCGGCGUAAGCCAGGUCGGUUUCUAUCUUUAAUAAAAUUAUAAUAUUUUAGUACGAAAGGACCAAAUAUUAAAUAUAUUAUUUAUAUAAUUGAAUAUUAUUAAAUUUA